GAAAUUCACUGUUCGUGAAACUACUGUAUGAAUACUGGUGGCUUUCAUGCCGCCAGCAUACGAAUGCUCUUGUUCGCCUAAAAUACAGAUACCUGAAUACACUUGGUUCUAACAACCUUAAAGCUAUAGAAACACAUUUAUGCAAAAACAGUCAUAAGUGGCUAGUUUUGCCACAAGGGGGUACAACAUUUAAAGGUGUAUGUGGCAAACCUAGCCACUUGUAAUAAUCUGGACUAUGUAUAUAAAAAGGUUGCCUGUAUUAUUCCUGUAACUUUUAUAUUGCCUGGCUGUAUCCUGUGUGUUAAUAUAUGCUGUAUUGAAUUUGUAUGCUAGCUGCCGUAAGCCGCUAGCAUUCAUGUGUUUCGUUUCACGAACAGCACCAUUGCGGGGUGUUCCUGAACCGAAUGAGCUACCCCCUAAUAGCCCACACACAGAGGGACAUGUGGCGCUCGUUAACCGAUUGCAACAAUGUUGCAAUCGGUAAUUAGAUGCUUUCCUAGGUGGCCGCCGUUCGGCUACCGACCACGCGGCGGUCGGCCAUCUUGGAUCCUUUGUCUCCCCAGCGGUGUUUGGUCGUCGAGCGCGUGGAACUGAAAACAGCUACUCGACGGCGCAAACACCGCUGGACUUCCAGGCCGUUCGGGAGCUCCGGUCUUUCGCUAUUAGGGUUUCCCCAUCAGUG